AUUGAACGCUGGCGGCAUGCUUUACACAUGCAAGUCGAACGGUAACGCGGGGCAACCUGGCGACGAGUGGCGAACGGGUGAGUAAUGCAUCGGAACGUGCCCAGUAGUGGGGGAUAGCCCGGCGAAAGCCGGAUUAAUACCGCACACGACCUACGGGUGAAAGCGGGGGACCGUAAGGCCUCGCGCUAUUGGAGCGGCCGAUGUCAGAUUAGGUUGUUGGUGGGGUAAAAGCCUACCAAGCCGACGAUCUGUAGCUGGUCUGAGAGGACGACCAGCCACACUGGGACUGAGACACGGCCCAGACUCCUACGGGAGGCAGCAGUGGGGAAUUUUGGACAAUGGGGCAACCCUGAUCCAGCCAUGCCGCGUGCGGGAAGAAGGCCUUCGGGUUGUAAACCGCUUUUGUCAGGGAAGAAACGCUCUGGGCUGAUACCCCGGGGUAAUGACGGUACCUGAAGAAUAAGCACCGGCUAACUACGUGCCAGCCGCCGCAGUAACAC
rnacentral:rRNA from 1 species